UGGCCUAGGAAUGUCGGUACAGCCAGAUGA
rnacentral:piRNA from 1 species